rnacentral:lncRNA from 1 species
CCAAGUUCUACGAUUACAGGGUGCACCACCAUGCCCAGUGUAGGUUUUGUUGAUUACCAAACUACCAGUGCCUAUGGUUCCUUCGCCUCCAUCUGCUGUUCAGGAUUUGCACCUGCGCACCUGCCACAUCACUAUGCGCAUGCGCAACUCCGGAGCCUGCGCACCUGGCUUGGCCUCCCACUAUACCUGUGCACUGGGAGCUUCCAGAGCUCGCCUGGCUCUGCAGGUGGGGGUGGGGGUCGGGGGGAGGCUGUGUUCUGUUCCCUUCGGAAUAACAGACCCGCAAACACCAACUACCGUAUGUGAAGAGGGCUGUGAGUACUCACAGGCCCUCAAGACUCCAUGUUGUCUACAGUGGGGCCAGCAUCACACAACUUUACUAAAUGCUAUUGAAUUAUACACUUC